GGGUCUGUCGUCUAACGGUAGGACGACGCUUCGGGCGGAUGAUCCACGGUUCGAGUCCGUGGUGGACCCC
rnacentral:tRNA from 1 species